rnacentral:rRNA from 1 species
UUGACGGGGAGCACUACAACGGGUGGAGCCUGCGGUUUAAUUGGACUCAACGCCGGAAAACUCACCGGGGGCGACAGCAAUAUGUAGGUCGAGCUAAAGACUUUACCAGAAUCGCUGAGAGGAGGUGCAUGGCCGUCGUCAGUUCAUACUGUGAAGCAUCCUGUUAAGUCAGGCAACGAGCGAGACCCGUGCCCACUGUUGCCAGCAUGUCCUUCGGGAUGAUGGGUACUCUGUGGGGACCGCCGAUGCUAAAUCGGAGGAAGGUGCGGGCUACGGUAGGUCAGUAUGCCCCGAAUCUCCCGGGCUACACGCGGGCUACAAUGACUGGGACAAUGGGCUCCUACCCCGAAAGGGGAUGGUAAUCUCAUAAACCCAGCCUUAGUUCGGAUCGAGGGCUGUAACCCGCCCUCGUGAAGCUGGAAUCCGUAGUAAUCGCGUUUCAACAUAGCGCGGUGAAUACGUCCCUGCUCCUU